rnacentral:lncRNA from 1 species
AGCACAGGAGAAGAACCAUCAGAGACACAAGCAGUGACUAGGCUUACAUUGUCACAAGCAAAGGAACACCUGGGACCCGAAGAGCAGAAGUUUCUCCCCGGACCCUCUGAAUGGGCAGAAGGACUGCAGACCACUUACUUUUGAACGUCUUGCUUGCAGAACCGGAUGCCAUGGAGGACGGCAGAGAGGACUGAGGCCUUCAGCUCCCCUGAAGCAACAUUUACUUGACAUUGUAAACCGAGGGAUGCACACUGGGGAUGGGACUCUGACCCUCUGUGAGAACAGCCCAGGAACUGUGUGUUGCAUUGCGGAAACCCUCUGAAGGGUCAGCACUGUCGAAACAAAACAAAGUCAAAAUGAAGACCCCAGGCACCCAGUUUAAUGCAAGCUGGAGUUCAGAUGUUGUCUCAGAUAUGAUUCUUAUUCAGCCAGUCAGUAUGUGUUUCCUGAAAUCUCACUGGUGUCACAGAGAGACAGCAGAGUGAUAUGCGUUGGCGGCCGGAUGACUUGAAAUGGCACUGCAAACACAAGAUGAUUUUACUUACGAAAUAUGGAGUUUUCAUAAAAUAGUUUGGGAUGAAGGAGACGGAGAAAAAGAACAAUGGGAAACCCCAGAAGACAAAACCUUUAAAAGUUCUUACGUGCUUGGUAUGCCUCUCCCUACUAAAUGUAAAAGAAAUCCCCCCAAAUAAAUAGUUUAAGAAAGUUUUGUAAACAGCAACUUAAUAAAAUUUACCCUAAUAAA